GGGGACACAGCAAAGGACACCUCAGGAAAAGGAAAGAUGAAGGAAAAUAAAAAAGGGAUUUGGGGGCUGGAGAGAUGGCUCAGCCGUUAAAGGCUAGGCUCACAACCAAAUAUAUAAAAAAGGGAUUUGGGCCAGUGGUGAAUAAACCUUGUAAAAAGGGACAAGGUAAAUGGUAGAAUGUAUUUUUGUUGCGCGCCCAACGUCUCGCCAGCAAGAACGACACGCAGACACCAGGAUCCUUCUGUAGCAAUGCGUUUAUUACAUCUUGAAGAGGAGAGACCGGGGCCCAGAAAGGUGCUGCUUAUAAAACCCUAGCACGGCGUGUCCACGCCUGAUUGGUCGCUUACCCAUGAUCUCACUGGCACGCCCCGGGGUGGGCAAAGACUUGGCGCGAACACACUCUGGCACAUGCGCACACAGCUAGUUUCCUGAAAGGAAGUCGGGCUGGCACAGCGGAAGCCAGCGCCAUCUUGUGAUGGCGAAUGUUAUUGCGGCUUUCCACAUAUUUUGUGUAUGUGUUUAGAGUUAUGCUAAAAUAUAGAGGAGUGAAGAUAAUUUUCAUAGACGCUUUUAGUCUUUGGAUCCUGAUCAGAGAUAAUUUAACCCUGGACAUGAGACAGAGAAUGGGUUUCAGAAAAGCAGUUGUCCCCUCUGUCUGGGACGCUUUGGUGAAAGAGAAAGAAGAUGAAUGUAAGCUGUUUCAGAGCUCUCCUAGGGGCAAGAGGAGGUCAGGAGACUUCCUGCUCCUUCUGGGGGGAUGCUUAGUUCUGGUUCUGGGUAACUUAGGAAGGAUAUCUGGGUCCCUUUGGCACAUAUAAUUCUCUUCCCUUUCUGUCUGUUAUCUGUCCUUGGCGUGCCAAUCUGUCCGUGUCUGUCAGUUUAUGUCUGCUUUUGUUUUGUCGCGUGACUGUUGCUCUGUCUUUCAUGUUAUAAAAACUGGUAAGUUCCCCUGAACCUGUAGCUAGGAGCCCGGCAUAGCUGGAGAAGCCCUGCCAGGAGCUGAUUGCCUGUGCAAACUGCUCUGAAAGGCUCCAGCAGCUUCUCGGCUUCCAUAGUAAGGAAGCUGAUGGCUGCUUCUCCUAGAAAAAUCUCUGCGACUGUGUAUCGGUUUCGACAGGUGCUCCUCCCUUGAAAUUAUAGCUAGAAAAAGCAAGAGAAUUUUUUCUAGUUUAAAUAAGUAAAGGUGUGGCAACUUCAUGUUUGUUUAGACGUGUAAACAUGUUCUGCAUGUCUUGGUUAUAGACUACUGGCUUGUAAGUUAUUAGGUAUGAUUAAAAAUUUGUAAUAUUGGUAACAGAAAGUUGUCUUAGCACUGGUAACCUAGGGUUGGAGCGAUUUUAGACAACAACACGUGGUGUGAGUCAACCUAGGGAAGCAGCUCGUGCAUGUUUGGGAUGAGGAGAUUAUGUUAUGGAAAACUAAUUUUUUCUUAAAAAAAAAAAUGCCAGCAGACAGCAGAGUUAAAUGCUAGAGCUAACAAUCCAGUUACUUAUGAGAUGUUAGCAGGAGAAGGUUAAUAGGAUACUCAGAAUCAGUAACAAUUUAAUCCUGGUACUUAUGCUCGAAUUGGCACUGCUGCUAUGGAAGGGGGUUUGUCUCAAGGUAUCUCAAGAGUAAGGCAGGGACCUGACCAGCCUUUUCGGGAGUUUGUUGAUAGGUUGAUGAAAGCGGCAGGCAGAGUGUUUGGAGAUGCUAAUGCCGGAAUGCUUUUAGUAAAACAGUUGGUUUCUGAGAACGCAAACACGGCCUGUCAGGCUGCCAUAAGACCUUAUAGAAAGAUUGGAACCAUUGCCGACUAUAUUAGACUGUGUUCUGACUUUGGUCCCUCUUAUAUGCAGGGUGUGGACCUGGCUGCCGAACUACAGGGAAAAACUAUACAGCAAGUUUUGUUUCAACAGACAGGAAAAGGAAAGAGGAGGGUUAAUGGGCCUCCUGGAAGGGUUUUUUUUUUUGUUUGUUUGUUUUGUUUUGUUUUGUUUUUUGGUGUGGACAGACAGGGCAUCAAGUGAGAAAUUGUCCAAAAAGAACUAAGGAAAAUAGUAAUGAGAGAAAACAAGGACUCUGUCCUAGAUGCAAGAGAGGGACUCAUCAGGCUAAUGAGUGCAGGUCUAAGAUGACUUAGGAAAUCUUCUUCCUCAGAGAAACAGGAGAGGGAGCCAGCCCCAGGCCCCGAAACAAUGUUAUGGGGCAAUGCAGUUCUUUCCUCAGCAAAACAAUCCUCUCAGGAUCUUUGGAGCCACACCCAGACAGCACAGGACUGGACCUGGGUCCCUCCACCUACACAGUAUUAACUCCUGAAGUGGGGGUGCAGGCCCUUCCUACUGGAAUAUGCGGUCCGUUGUUGUCAGGAACAUAGAAUUGUUACUAGGAAGAAGCAGGGCCACUGUGACAGGAUUGAUGAUCGCCCCAGGAGUUCUAGAUGCAGAUUAUACAUGGGAAAUUAAAAUUAUGACUUCUUCACCUACCCAUAUUUCUUAACCCAGACAGAGAGUUGCUCAGUUACUCCUUGUGCCAUUGGUUAUGAUGAAAGUAAGGUUAAAGCUAAUGUUCGAGGAGCAAAAGGAUUUGGUUCUUCAGAUGCUCAUCAGGUCCAGGUGAUAAAAGCUGAAAGACCUGAAUUAGUUUUAAGAAAAAAAAUGGAAAAGACAUUGCAGGGCUGCUGGAUACAGGAGCAGAUAUAUCUGUAUGUGAAUAUAAUAUGAUUUAUAUUCACUGGCCUAGAUCUCGGCCUAAAACAACUACCAUUACUCAAUUACAAGGGAGGGGGCAAAGUCAGAGUCCUGGGCAAAGUCAGAGUCCCGAGCAAAGCCCUGAUCUCUUACACUGGGAAGAUGAGGAAGGUCACUGUUUUAGUUAGGGUUUUAUUGUUGUGAACAGACACCACGACCAAGGCAACUUUUAUAAGGGACAACAUUUAAUUGGGGCUGGCUUACAGGUUCAGAGGUUCAGUCCAUUACCAUCAAGGCAGAAACAUGGCAGCAUCUAGGCAGGCAUGGUGCAGGAGGAGCUGAGAGUUCUACAUCUUCACCUGAAGGAAGCCAGGAACAGACUGAUUCUUGGGCAGCUAGAAGUAGAGUCUCCAAGUCCACCCCACGGUGACACACUUCCUCCAACAAGGCCACACCUUCUAAUAGUGCCAUUCCCUGGGCCAAGCAUGUGCAAACCAUCACACUCAGUAAGGAUGUUUUAAACUUUACAUUGUUUCCAACCUGCCUGUUAAUUUGUGGGGAAGAGAUAUAAUGAAGGACAUGGGAAUCCUUUUAUAUGUCCAAAAAACAAAGUUACACAACAAAUGUGUGAUUGUGGUUAUCCAAGGAUUUGGAAAACAAGAUCAGGAAAAAUUAGUUACCCUUAUAGUUACCCCCCAGGGAAGGAAAACCAGGCCAGGGUAUUUUUAGUGGAGACCAUUGAGAAGCCUCCACUCUAUGCAGAUAAAAUUACUUGGAGAGUGAUGUUCCUGUAUGGGUGGAUCAGUGGUCUCUUCAGAAAAACAUUCUGGCCAUUCAACAGCUAGUGCAGGAGCAAUUGCAAGCUAGCCAUACUGAAUUUUCCAAUUCCCCCUCGAACUCACCUAUGUUUGUAAUUAAGAAAAAAAAGUCAGGCAAUUGGAGAUUAUUGCAAGAUUGAUCAAAGGUUAAUGAAACUAUGGAACUUAAGGGGGCAUUACAAGCUGGCUUACCUACCCCAUCUGCCAUUCCAAAAAAACAUAUAUAAUAAUUAUAGAUUUAAAGGAUUGUUUUUAUACUAUUGUUUUGUGUCCUGAUGAUUGUAAAAGGUUUGCAUUUAGUAUGCCUGCCUGUAAUUUAAAGAACCCAUGAAGCAAUAUCAUUGGAAAGUUUUACCUCGGGUAAUGGUUAAUAUCCCUAUAUUAUGUCAAAAUUUGUUGCUGCUUCAAUACAAGUUAGGACUUUGUAUCCUUCUGUGUAUUGUAUUUAUUAUAUGGAUGAUAUUUUGAUAGCUGAUUCCCUCUGAAGGAGUCUGAUUAGUUGUUGCUCCAGAAAAAAAUUCAAAGGCAAUAUCUGUUUCAAUAUUUGGGGCAUCAGUUAUAUCCUAAACAAAUUGUGGCACAGAAAAUUCAAAUAAGAAAAGAUAAUCUACUUACUUUAAAUAAAUGAUUUUCAAAAGCUAAGAGAUAUUAAUUGGCUAAGACCUCACCUCAGGCUCACCAUGGGAGAGCUUAAACCUCUGUUUGAUAUCCUCGAGGGGGAUGCAAAUCCUAAUUCCCCUCAACAAUUAACUGCUGAGGGAUGAAUAGCUUUGUAGAAAGUAGAGGAAGCUAUUAGUCAACAACAGAUACUAUGAUCAAUUGUUGACUGUUUGGUUCUUUCUACUUCUCAUGCACCCACAGCAGUUCUUUGUCAAAAGGGACCAUUAAUGUGGACUCAUUUUUCUUCAUCUCCAAGUAAAGUUUGAACGCCUUAUUAUGAAGCUAUUGCUGUGUUAAUACAGAAUUACAGGAUAGAAUCACAAAUGUAUUUUGAGAAAGAACAUGAUAAAAUAUUUAUUCCUUAUUCCAAACAGCAAUUAAAUUGGUCAUUGCAGAAUACUGAUAUAUGGCCUAUUGUAUGUGCAAACUUUCCAGGAAAAAUUGAUAAUCAUUAUCCAAAAGACAAGUUAUUAUAACUUGCUUCUAUACAUACUCUUGUAUUUCCUGUAAAUUUACACAUGCAGCCCGUAGAGAAUGCGCUUACUGUAUUUAUAGACAGCUCAUCUAAUGGGAAAGUGGCAUAUGUAAUUGGAUCAUAUGUUCAUUCUCUUGGGUUUCCUUCUGCUUCAGGCACAAGUAAUUGAAUUGUGUUCUGUAGCCACUGUUCUUGAAAUAUUGAAAAAUUAAGCUUUUAAUUUGUAUACUGAUAGCCAAUAUAUAGCUUAUGGUUUGCUUGAGACUGUUCCUUUUUUAGAUACUAUUAAUUCUCAAAUUUUGCAAUUAUUUAUAUAAAUACAUCUUAAUUUAAGAGAAUGUACUGUUCCUUAAAUUAGCCAAACAUUCUUAUUCUUUACAUCAUCAAAAUAGUAAUAGCUUGAGACAACAAUUUGGAAUUUCUAGAGAAUAUGCACGUCAAAUUGUAAAGAUUUGUCCUCAGUGUCCUCAAUUUCUUCCUGCACCACAUACUGGUGUUAAUCCUCAAGGACUCAUACCUAAUUAAUUAUGGCAAAUGGAUUGUCUUAGUUAGGGUCUUAUUGCUGUGAACAGACACCAUGGCCAAUGUAAGUUUUAUAAAAGACAACAUUUAAUUGGGGCUGGCUUACGGGUUCAGAGGUUCAGUCCAUUAUCAUCAAGGCGGGAGCAUGGCAGAGUCCAGGCAGGCAUGGUGCAGGAGGAGCUGAGAGAUCUACAUCUUCACCUGAAGGAAGCCAGGAACAGACUGAGCACCCUCAGGCAGCUAGGAGGAGGGUCUCCAAGCCCACCCCACAGUGACACACUUCCUCCAACAAAGUCACACCUUCUGAUAGUGCCACCCCCUGGGCCAAGCAUAUGCAAACCGUCACAUGGAUGUUACCCAUAUUUCUGAUUUUGGAAAAGUAAAAUAUGUACUGUUGAUACCUUCUCAGGUUUUCUUGUUGCAACUGCUUUAAUGGGAUAAGCAACUAAAAACGUAAUUACUCAUUGCCUACAUUGUUUCUCUACGCUGGGUGUACCAAAUCAGAUUGAAACAGAUAAUGGAACUGGUUAUUGCAGUCAAGCAUUUGAGACUUUUUGUCAACAAUUUAAUAUUACUCAUAUUACUGGGAUUCCUUAUAGUCCUUGGGGACAAGGUAUUGUGGAACAGUCCCACGGAACAUUAAAAUAAUAACUUCACAAAAUUAAGAAGAUGUGGUCCCCAUACGCGACAAAUUUAUUUUAAUCAUGUUCUUUUGUUUAAAUUUUUUAAAAAUUUGGAUGCCAAGGGUCUAUGGCACCCUACAACUCGGCAUAUUUAUGUCUAGGUGAAAUGGAAGGACAUAUGGCAUGAUCCUGAUCAGGUAUUGAUAUGGGGAAGAGGGUGUGUUUGUGGUUUUUUUGCAGGAUGCAGAAGGAGUGUGCUAGCUGCCAGAGUGACUGGCGAAACAUGCUGAUGCUGGGACAAAGAAUGAUGCUGACUGUGAGCUUGCUGAGUGCCCGACAAUGACGACAGGGAAGCUGUAUUGGGCCUAUGUUCCUGACCCACCACUGAUAUAUCCAGCAGUGUGGUCGAGACCAGAGAUUCUCGUACUUGGAUCUCCCUGGAUGGAGAAGCCAACUUAUAUAUUUAACAUGAGUUGUGUUGAUUGUACUCUUUCCAAUUGUGUUAAUGUACUGAAAUCUGGAAUUCCGUUACGGUGCUCUAUCAAUCAGCUUUUGUAUUAUUGCCUCUGGACACAAGCUAUAGUCAUCUGAGAAGAGAGAAAGUGAUUAAGAAAAUGCUCUCGUCAGAUCAGCCUGUAGGCAAGUCUUGGGAGCACUUCUUAUUGAUGGUUGAUGUGGAGAGCCCAGCUUGCUGGAGGUGCUGCCACCCCUGGACAAGUGGACCUGCGUUAUAUAAGAAAGCAAAUAGAGCAAGCCAGGAAGCAACACUUCUCCAUGGCUUCUGCCUCAAUUCCUGCCUUUGGGUUCCUAUCCUUCUUGAGUUCUUCCCUUGGUUUCCUUCAAUGGACCAUGACUCAGGAACCGUCUUUAUCAAGACAACAGACAGCGAACUAGAACCAUUGUGGAUGACUUUGUCCGAUGACUGUGGCUCUAUGGGUCUAUUUCUGGUCCCGUGUCCUACUCCACUGGUCAGUUUAUUCACCUAGUUAUUAAUUGGAGCCUGUUCUUUGGAUGUUUGUGUGCAGUGCCACACUGUUUUGAACUCUAUAGUAUAAUUUUGAAUAUGGCAUCGUACUUUCUACUCAGGGUCUUUUGUGCUUUAUGUGGAUUUUAGAAUUAAUUUUUCCCAUUUCGGGGCUGGAGAGAUGGCUCAGCGGUUAAGAGCACCCAACUGCUCUUUCAGAGGUCAUGAGUUCAAUUCCCAGCAACCACAUGGUGGCUCACAACCAUCUGUAAAGAGAUCCGAUGCCCUCUUCUGGUGUAUCUGAAGACAGCUACAGUGUACUUAUAUAUAAUAAAUAAAUAAAUCUUUACAAAAAAAAA